UGGGCGGCGGCGCUGGGCUGGGCUGUGCUGUGCGGGGCGGGCGUCGGAGCCCGGGGCCCGCGCGCUGCUCGGGGGUGCGUCGCUGAGCUCCCUCGCGGGCCCCGAGUUGGCCUGGGAUGCGAGGCUCUCAGCGUGGCCCGGAGUUGGGAGUCUUUGCGACCAUGCCAAGAGCAGAUUCCAGAGGAGCCCGCAAGGAUAAACGAAUCUGUAUUGCACACUGCUCUACUUUGGGAGGCCUCAGAUAAGUAAUGUCUGUCCCCACCUUGGCCUGGCUGAUAUUGAUGCAGUGAAGAUUUGCGGUCCUCCUGUAACUUUUUAAAGGAUUGUGCCUAAAAUAGAACCAGAGUCAGUGGUACAGGAGCCCGCGGUGUGUGCUUUCUUUUGAUUCGAUAUUUUCAUUGUUUCCGUUGAUGAUUUUUUAAAAAAGCUGUCUGUCUGUUAAUGUCCUACUUUGAACAUUGAGUGUGAGUAAACACUCAGCUGGUGAUUGCCCCAAAGGGAGUCCUGGCCUGCCCUCUUUGAUCUUUGCUGUAAAUUGUAAACAGUAGGCAUCACCAGGAGCAUGAGGAGGGAGAGCUAGAAGACUCUGGAGAAACCAGCAGCGUUGGCUGGGGAGCGGGAUGGGAGACUACCGCGGUGCAGGGUAGGAGAGGAAAGCUGUGCUGUCCAGGGUGCCUGCAGCAGGGGCUCCUGUGGGCUCCAGUCCUCACCGGCUCCAAUGCCCUGUGCAGAAGGACGAAACGACUGAUGAAUCAUUUUGAAGUCAGCGUGUGACCGAAGUUGCAUUUUUUGAUCCCUGACUUACGCAAAACUCCAAGGCAAGAACAGGAGCUGGGAGAAGAAGAAUCGCUGAGAGGAGGAUGGGUGAACCGAGGUAUUGGCAAAGAGGGCUGAAGAGAGGAGCGCAGUUACUGGAGCUUGGAGAUAUGGAUGAAGCGUGGUGCCCAGGUGUCAGCAGAGCGAGGACAAGGAUGUCAGCUGCAGCUGGAAGCAAGGCAGAGGCGUCCUUCAGGAAGGAUAGAGGCUCCAUUCUGACCACAGAACUCAAACUACCUGGGAGCCUACCUGCAGCCAGGUAGUCUCGCGGCCAACUGUUGAAGGAAGAGCACCCAGCCUGUUCCCAGCACUGGAGUAGCUGUAGCCGCAGCAAGACAGAUGGGCUUCCUGUUCCUGCUGCCAGUGAGGGCCAAAAAGAGAGUAAGUGCCUAGAGAAGACAGGAGUGACUGCAUAAUGCACUUUCCGGGCAAAACAGACUUGCAGGACUGGUGAGAGAGGAGAGGUGGCUUCCAGAGCUGCUCUUCCAGCUGGGGCUGGUAAGGUGUUAGUGCAGUGUAUGGAACCACAGGGGCCAGCAGGGCAAAGGCCUGGGGGUGAUACAUUUGUUGCUUUAGGGAACAGGGAGGAGGCCAGUAAGGCUGAGGUUUACAGAACAAAGGAAAGGAUGGAGCUGGCUGCAAUCCCAAUGCUCAGGCAGGAGGUGAGUUUGAGCCUUCAAGCCUUAGCAAUGUAGCAAGACCCUGGCUCAAAAUUUAAAAAUAAAAAUGGGCGGGAUGCAGCCCAGUGCAGAGGCCCUGGAUGUGCUGCCAGUGCCUCAAAAAGAGAAGAAGUAAGGGAUGGUAGGAGAUGAGGUCUGCGGCCUUGAUAAGAUGAAGCCAUAGAGUUAGAAGUGGAGCAGCACAGACGGGGAGAUUGACAGGAGAGAGAAAAACGAGGGGAGGCUUGGACAGAGGAGCCAGUAGUGGGCUGGAUAACAAGCUACACUCACAGCUUUAUAGGGGCCGUCGGUGAAAAGUAAAAGGUUGAAAUUUUAUUUUUAUUUUUUUUAAACUUUUUAUCUGUACUAGGGAUUGAACUCACGACCGCCUGCUUGCAAGGCAGGUGCUUAUGCCGCUGAGCUAAAUCCCCAGUCCCUAAGGGUAAAAUUUUAAUACAGCCCAACACUACUUCACAGGUGAUCAGUAUAAAAAAUUACUCACCAUUUUUAAAUGUCCUACAUUCUUUUUCUCAUUACCUAAGGCUUGAAAUCUGGUGUGUGUUUUCCACUAAAAGCUUAUCUCGAUACUUGAUAAAAUUUGCAGUUGAAAACUGGUUUAAAUGUACUUAAAAGUUUGGCAAGCUAGGCGCCAUGGUGUGUGCCUAUAAUCUCAGCUGCCCAGGAGGCUGAGGCAGGAGGAUUUGCCAGUUGGGGCCUGUGUCAAAUUUUUUUUAAAAAGAUUGCAAAUGGAGCUCAGUGGUAGGGUGUUUAGCUUGUAUGAGAUCCUGAGUUCAAUCUCCAGCAUUGCAGAAAAGAAAAGUUUUGUGGUGGUUGAAUCAUGACAGUAUUUUAAUUUUAAAUUGAAAAAUAAAAAUGUACUUUCUAAAUUAGCCAUAUUUCAGGUGGAGCUAGUUGCUGCAGUGAAGUCUUCAUAGAACAAAAUAGUAGAAAAUCUGACUUCAAAGUUGUUCGGAAGCCCUGGAUACCAGCCGAGCUAGGGGAGUAAGAUUAGGGUUAGGGUUAGAGGCAAGGUGAGCAGUAGUUGGGCUGGAAGAAGGGGCUUAAGGCUGGAAAGGCCAAUAGGUGGCCUCUUGGUCACCCAGGACCAAGAGCCACCCCUCGCUGGCUUUGACUUUGGCCCAGGGGGCUCAGAAUUGGUGGUGACGCUCCAGGCUCCAGGGCCGGGGCCCAGAAAUGUCCCUGGGCCACUACCUGUCUGCAGACACUUGGUCACCAGACCAUGGCACACUCACAGGUGAGAGGGAGAAUUUAGAGACAACCAGUGAUCCAACAGACUGUGUUUAUUCUUGGGGGAUCCAGGGCACAUUUGGGGCUUGGGUAUUUAUCUUUCCCUUUUUAAUUCCCUUCUGCAGGAACACUUAUCAAAGCAUCCUCUUUUACAACUGUUUUAGAGUUGUUAGGAUGAAGGAACUCAGAAGGACCAAACUCCCAGGCAUCUUAGUUUUUACUUCCUGGUGGGAAUGUCACAGCUCUAAGAGGGAUGGACAUCUUAUUUUUUGUUACAGCUACCACUUGCUGAUUACCUCCACGUGCCAAUCACUGGGCACCGCCUGUUACACAGAGUGUCUCAUUUCAUGCUCACACUUCUAUACCACAGAUGUUACUGGCUCCGUUUUCCUCACGAGGAAACAGGCUGAUAUAGAUUACCUGAGUUGCUUACAGUCACUAAGCUCUCCCAUCUCGGAGGUGGGAUUCUAAUGCAGCUCUCACUGGGAGACAGAGUGCCCAUUACAUGUUCAACAUCUAGCAGUUUUCCCAGCCCAGACAGCACAAGGACGCAUGAAGUUAACUGCAUUUUCCCCCCCAAUGGGUCAUUAGUAAAUUUGGGGCCAGAAUAAGGGGGAGUUCAUGGUAUUCCAACAGCACCAGGCAAAUCCAUUCACUUCUACAACAGAAAAAGGUCUCUUUCCUACCUAAAUGUUUUAUAGGGACUCCACAGAUUAGUAAAAACCCAAUAGAAAGAUGGGUAAGAGGCUUUCAUAAUCACAUCACACAAGGAGGCGUCUGCAUCACCAAUAAAAACGCAGGGUGCUUAGCUUUUUUAGUUACUAAGGAAGCGCACAUUAAAACCCCAGUUAGACACUGUCGCUCCCCCAACUGUGGUUAAAAUGGAAAAACCAGAAAAUACCCAAUGUUGGCCAACAGUUUCAGCAGCUGCAAAUGGGGACCACUUUGGAAAAUUCAAAGUUAAAAAAAUGGGGCAAAAGCAAACGAUUUAGGAGUAUAGGCUGAGGUAGUAAACUUGUAAAGAACUUGGAGGGUCCUGCUUCACAGGGAAUAAAGAGGUACCCCUGGGAUACUGGCAGUGUUCUAGUUUCUGAACGGAGGGAAGUUUCGUUUAUUGACCUGUAGAUUGUGGGGAAGGGGUUGGUUUUCCGAAAGUAUGUCAUGAUUUAACCUGUUUGCAGAACUUUUUUUUUAAUAAGUAUGAAAAACUACCUCCCCUCUCCAGCCUGAUCCACAUUAGCAACUAUGUAUCCCCUGACUGAGCCAGUUUCCUGGUGAAUGGAUUACAAAUGCAAGAAAUAAGGCACCUGCAUUUUGCAGGUGGCAGAGGUGAAGAAAAUAGAGGAGAAACAGAUGCAAAAGACAUUGCAGAACCCGAGGCAGCUGGCCAGGUGGAAAGCGCAGCACUCGCCAGUGGAGGACAACUUCCCUGGCUUUAGGCUCUGGCCACUAAGCAGUGACCUGGGCCCAGAUAAAGCGAGCAUUCUUUUGUUUCAAGCCUUGGCAAGCUAUUGAAACACCGCACAGUGUUUACUGAUGUCUGAUUCAGCUUGACCGGGAAGGGGAAGGGAUUUAAAGACGACUGAGAUGAUUUAAAGAUGACUGAGAUGUUGAGCCCGGUCAAAACUGUUUUGUUCAGGAUACAGUGUUGCAUGUCUGUAGUCAGAGCUAUGUGGGAGCCUGAGGCAAGAGGAUUGCAAGUCCAAGGCUAACCUGGGCAACUCAGCAAGACCUUGCCUCAAAAGUUUUUAAAUAAAGAGAACUGAUGAUAUAGCACAAAAAGCAAAAAAGCGCUUUCAAAAAUUAUGACUCUUCUAUCCGUGCAGUUCCCACCUCCAACUAUUUUUGUUUACUUUUCUAGAGUUUUUUAAAAAUUCUUAGUAGGAAUAUUCAUAUUUCCCCUUUAUUAUACAAAAGAGAGGAUUCUUAUCUCCCCUUCUGUAUGUUACAACUAAGAUAUAUGGAGUUGUCAUAUAAAUGCCUAAAAGAUGACUUUUCCUACCCCUGAAGUCUAUUAGUCAUUACCCAGCUGAGGGACACCAGGCUUCUAAUCUCCUAAUCUCAUUAGUGCCUGAAUGAACAUCUUGAAUGUACAUCUUUUCUUGGUUAUGUAAGUGUAUCUCACUUCACUUCCUGCGGGUGGAAGUACUCUGCAAAAGGGCAUAUGUAUAUUUUUAAUUUGCUUUCUGUGUACCCAGUCUUUCUCUCUGCAGCACUGCGGAUGGAGUGUUACCAAAUUUGCAGCUUUUUUUCCCCCCUUCUCCCUUACUAGGAAUUGAAGUCGGGGCUGUGGGCUAACAUCCCUGACCCUGUUUGUUUGAUUGCUCUAAAUUAAGGUAUGGCUACAUUGCCUAGGCCAGCCCCAAACGCACAGUCCUCCUGCCUUGAGCUCAGCAGCUGGGAUUCCAGGAAUGCACCAUCUGCCUGUCAAGGGCAGAUUAUCCCAAAUUCUACCUCAUGCUUUUGGGGUCAAUAACAAAAUCAUUUCUCUGAACUGAGAAAAAAUGGCUUUCAGUUAGCAGGAUUUGUUCAGGAUACAGGAAUUCUUUGCAGUCCUUUCUGCAACUACUCGCCCACAACUUUUUUUUUCACAACUAGUUUUUAAAAGUGAAAAUAUGGGGGGGCAGGGGAAUUAUGCAAUCCAGGUGGCCCGGCACACCUGGAAAGAACCGGGAAUGACUGCAGACGGCUCUACGCGCUCCCCAACCCCUCAGCAAAUUUGCAAGUUUAGCACAAUCUGAAAAGAUCCUUUAGCCUUCGUUUGAGUUCCAGUGUCAACCUGGGAAGGGCAAGACAUGAAUUUCACAAAAGAUUUCCUCAAUGUGAUAGCUAAGAUUUAAUUUUGAUUAAUCUUGUCUGGGCACUGAGGAGGGACAUGGAGGGGGAAGGGAGGGGUGUGGGGCAGUGGACUGUACCUGCUCUGGGAUUCGAUCUGGGCAGAAAAAAGUUCCAGGAAUCAUGGCAGUUACUUGGAGCAAAAGUAACUUAGGGAGAAGACAUGGAUAAAUGUGACCUGCUGGCGCUCAUGUGCCAAACCUUGCCACUUGCACAAGUCAUGGGUUUGUAGAGCAUCUUAACCUUAAGCCCAAGCGCCUGCGUUUGGGUCGGGCUAUGUGAUGUAUUAGUUGUGAGUCCUUGUGGCAAGGCACAUCAUCGCUUAGCUCCUGUUUGUGAAACAGGGAAUCUAAAUCUUCUACCCUACACACAGUUUUGAGAAGAUUAAAUGAAUAAGCUCACGUGCCUAGGAGUGCUCGCAGAAGGUAAGGACUCCAGCAUUUGGUUUGCGAGGGGUGGGGAGGUUGGUUUGGUUUUCACGCUAAUCCAGCCCCAGCUGCACCUUCCUAACCAUCAGUACCUGGACAGCUGUGGGCGUUUCUGAUCCAUGCAGUAAUCUACUUUGCAACUCUAGACAGGGGGUCUCUAUACAGUUCAGGCUGGCCUUGAGCUCACUUUGUAGCCCACGCUGGUCUCAAACUCACAAGGAUCCUCCUGCCUCAGCCUCCUGAGUACUGGGAUUACAGGCGUGAACCAUUACACCCAGCUGGUGAUGUUUCUUGGUUAAAGUUAGUUUAAAUGAUUUAAUUGCUAAAAUGUAAUGUAUGGCCUAGAACAUGAUAUCAAAAGUACUGGUCAGUGUAGAUAUCUAAAAUGGUAAAUGACUUGACUUGCAUGCUUUAUUUAUUUACUCAUCUUUUCAAUAAAAAGUUGCCACUCGCCUUUCCACCCUUUCUGUUUCUCUUUUCCCCUUUGUGUUUUAAGUUAUUACAGAGCCCCCUUGUAUUACUGGGAACAAGAAUAAAGUUAGGCACCCCGGUAUCUGUUUGGUUAGAAAACAGUCAUUAAUCACUCAUUAAUCAAGCUUGGCUCAGCUUUAAUAUCACUGUCAAGAUCAUCCACAGGUGUGUGAGUUGUGCCACAGACAUGCGCAUUCUGAUGUCCUCGGGAUGUAAGAUGACUGUCAUCAGGCACAGAAACGUGGGUUUAGCAUGUGCUUUAGAAUAUUGAUAAAUUAUUAAUUUCAAUUUUAUGGCUUACUAUAUUAAACAAUUAGCCAGAAAAUAUAUCAACAAUAAGUAUUGAAUUUUUAAUAUUUAUUGAGUUUAUAAAAACAUCAAAAUUUUCAACAUUGACUAAUUGUGAAUCACGAAGUCUAAAAACAAAUUCUUAUGUGAACUACAUUGAAAAUACCAAUAACGGGGGCUGGGGGUUUAGCUCAGCGGCAUAAGCACCUGCCUUGAGUAUGCCGGCAGGCAGUCGUGAGUUCGAUCCCCAGCACUGAUAAAAAAGGAAAAACACACACAAAAAAGAAAAUACCAAUAGCGCUUUACAAAAAUAAUUAUUUCACCUAGGGCAGGUUGCACACAUGACAAGCACAUGCAUCUUACACAGCCAUCGCUUAUACUGCACAUGUGUUCUGCUUUCCUGGCCUUUUUGUUGGGCACACUUCACAUCUUAGUGCGUUUUGCUGUUAGGAGAUUUAUUAUAGAGUGUGUAGUUAACAAGAACAUAAGAUACCAAUAAAACAGUCAAUAGACAUUGUGUGUUUAGAAUAAACAUUUUCACAUCAGCUGUGUACUUGCUUACAAAACCUGAAAGAUAAGAUCAGAAAUGAAUUCCUAUUUAACUACAAUGAAAAUACCAAUAGAUCGGGGCCUCCUGAGAAUCGGCCAUGCUGGAACUUGGGGGACCAGCCAAGAAAUCACCUAGCCAGCCUUUCUGGUAAGUCAUGCAAGCUGCUGGGUUCCAGGGAGACAAAACUCAGUGCUGCCCGUGAGCCUGCCAGCUAGCAACAGCAUGGGCUGAGACUCAAACACCAUGUCCCGCCCCUGCCGGUCCGCCACGCCCCACCAGCAUCUAAGGCGCAUAAAGUGACUAAAUGCUUGUACUGUUGGUUGAUUAUGCUGACCUGGGGCCAGAGGUCUGAGCAUCUCGUGGGAGGAUGACAAGAUGCAAUACAGCAAAUAUGGGGGAUUUCCUUCUAUCUUGUCUUUGAAGUCAAAUGUUUUCACUAUUUUGCUUUGUUCUGAUUGUUUUUGCUUUAUUUAGUAUUCUGUUUUGAUUGGUUCUAUUGUGUUUUGGUUUGAUUUUGCUAUACCUGAUGGAAUGGAGAACUAUUGUGAAGAUAACAAGAUAUACUAUGGUAGCUAUUGUUUUCCUGGUAUGCUGCUUUGAAGUUCCAUACCAAUUUUGCUGCAGUGUUUUGAUUGGCUUUGUUCUGUCUCAUUUUGUUGCAUUUUACUGUCUUUAAAAAAAAAAUACCAAUAGAACUCUACCACAAAAAUAAGCUUUGCUUCGGCUGUCACAGCCAAGGCAGUCUUCACACAUGAAGUGCUCCGUGUACACUGCCAGCAGGUAUGUGUGUAGCUUUACUGUGUGGCAGUCUCGUCACCUCUCCCUGUUCUGUCAGGGACUUCCUACUAUACAGUACAGCAUGCACUUAGCAAGGAAAUAAGACAGCAAGAAAACAAAACAUGCAUAAUGAGUACUUCGAAUGGGCACCAGCAUUUUCACAUCAGCUGUGUACUUGCUUACAAAAGAUAACAUCAGAAAUAAAUUGAUGUAGCAUAAACACAAAAGUCUGCCACAGAAAUAGCCUUGUGUUACCUGACCCGAGGCGGUCUUCACAUGGGACAUAUACACCAACAGCACAUGUACUUUGUUUUCCUGUCCUUUCUUGUGGGACACGGUUGACACCUCUUGUUUUCCUGUUGUUGUAGUGGGUCUUCAUGGUGCUGUGCUGCCUGUUCACCUGUCAUCUCGCCACUGCUCCACAGCUUUUUGUGUGGGCAGAAGAAGCAUUUUUCUUUUUCCCAUGCUAUAGGUAAUCUCAUCAGAGCCCCAGCCCCAGUCCUCAAAGGGAAAUUUUCCAUGAUAUUUUGCACUACCUGUUUUGUUUGUAAACUAUCAAACUGUGCCAUACAUGUUUAGGACUGGGUGAAACACAGCCCUAAGGUGUCGUCACCUUUUCCCAGCCAUUUGGACUCUGCUUCUGCUCACUUCAGUGACAGUUUACUGUGUUGUGGACAGAAUAGUUGUGUACUCCCAAAAUUCAUGUGUUUCCAAGUGGUGAGGAGGGGAAGGGAAGGAAUGAACACAGAAUUAAGCCGUUUUAUUACAUACACCAGUUCCACACAGCGGAAGUAAUCAUUCUGUGCUGCAAACAUGGGCUAACAAAAGUAAAAGUUUUAAACUUAAUGUGUAGAAGCCUAGCCCUGAAUGUGGUGGUGUUUGGAGAUGGGGCCUGCAGGUGGUGGUUAGGGUUAGAUUAGGUCCUGAGGAUGGGGUCCUCAUAAUGAGAUUAAUGGUCUUAGAAAACGAGGAAAAGGAAGCUGAGGCAGGAAGGUCAUAAGUCUGAGCCCAGCCUAGACAAUUAUCAAUUAACAAAACCCAUCAAAAAAUAAAAAGGGACUGGUGAUGGAGCUCAGUGCAGAGGCCCUGGAUUCAAUCCCCAGGGCAGGGAUCUCUGCUCAAGAUCAAAGAGGAAGAGCCAUGCGAGAGUUCAAGAAAAGAUGACCAUCUGCAAGCCAAGAGAGUGCAUCAGGAACUGAAUCGGCUGGCACCUUGACCUAAGGCUUUCCAACCAGUGGAACUGUGAGAAAUAAACUUCUGUUAUUUAAGCCA